UUUCCCCUAAUGCUUUCAGAGAGUAGGACCACAAGGCCCUCCUGGACCACGAGGACCCCCAGGACCGUCUGGCAAGGAUGGAAUUGACGGAGAGCCAGGCCCUCCUGGUUUGCCAGGCCCACCAGGGCCAAAAGGUGCACCAGGGAAGCCUGGAGCAGCUGGUGAAGCUGGAUUGCCUGGUCUUCCUGGGGUGGAUGGUUUAACUGGAACUGAUGGCCCACCUGGCCCAAAUGGGCCUCCAGGAGACCGUG